UGCCUUUCAUCCGCGUUCUACAGGCCGCUGCAGCUCCCGGGAGAGGAUCUUGGAAGCUUACGGUGGGAAAUAAGGGGAGAGGAGGAACCUAGUUGCCUCUGAGGAAGCAGGGGCCCCGGGGCAUUUCUUUAUGAAGUUACUUUUUGAGUAAAGGUUUAUAAAUGCAAAUGUUUCUGCAACAGAGUUUCCAACCCCAAGUUGUGUCCAGGAUUGUAAAACUGGGGGUCCAGACGGGCAAACCUCAAGUGGGUGAAUAUCAAUGUGGAAACCUGGGUCUCCAUGCACCCCUUCUAACAUUGGAGACCAUAUAGUCCACUCUCCUUCUUAGAUCCUAGCCUGAACUUCAUUAGCUCCCCUUCUACUCAUCCCUAACUCUGCGGGGCCUCGGCAGGCUCCUGGGACCCACCUUCGCAUCAUUUCCCAACUCCAAAGCCUCUCCUACUGGGCUCCGUGCUGCCCUUAGGAAUUACCCAGACCAGCCAGACGGCCAUCUCCCGGGAGAAUGCGUGGCUAGAGCCAGGCCAGGGUACUCUCUCUUUCCGCCUUUGUCCCUCCCUCCCUGCCCCCAGCUUCUCCAGAUCUCUGAGCUGAGUGUUUGGCUGGUGCAGUCCAUCCCAGCUUCCCGGGGGCUCUGGAGCAAGCCCCGCGUCCCGAAUGCCGCGCCCCUACCCACCGGAUUGCCUUGGGGGGCCCCUCGAUGCUGGGUCGUCGGCGUGGCGCUCUGAGGCGGUCGAACAGGAGCCCCCAGGCCCACCAUAUCUACGCUCUUAGUAGCCAGGUCGAAGAUGCUCAAAGAAGGAGGAAGUGCAGAGAAAAAGAGGGGGGUGAGGGAGAACCUUAACGUCUACGCACUCAAAACCGACUUUGGGGUUGGACUGUUUCAGUUUCACACGAAGAGACCUGGAGUAUCUGGAGAAGGUUUUUGAAGACGUUUAGGAGGAAGGGUGAGUUUUCUGCUGAGAAACUCAAUCUGCCAUACAGUAGCGGCCCCAUCUGGGAUCUGUCACUGCUGACAGCACCACAGGGCACAGCCGUGAUCUUCUGCACAGCCUGCACUCCCCGAAAUACCCUCCUUAAUCAAAGGAUGUCUGCGCGCCGGAGCUCAGCUGACCGCGCCAGGAGCAGAAUGGCCGGUGGAUUCCACCCCUAGCCCGCCCCCUCCCCACGCACACAGCCACAGCCCCUAUGGUCUUCCCAGAACAUUAAUUAAAAGCGGAAAGAGACAGAGGCUGAUGUCAUUGCUCUCAGAAGAUCAUAAACGUAAAGAGUCAUCCAGUGAGAAUCCCUGAAAAUGACUUUAAUGAAUAAUUUCAGAGACAGUUAUGGCUUUGGGUGAUUACGGAGAGAAUAUGAAAACCAGAUUUGCAAAGAGAAGGCGAUGGUCAGACGGCCUGGCCGCCACUUUCCCCCAUUAAAACCGCACCGGCUUUCCUUCUCCCCCAAGUAGUAGUUACAAACUUAGGUUGCGUUUUCAGAUUUUCUUUUUGAAAAACAAAACAAAAGCAAUCACAACCCUUACCCCUACCCCACCCCGGACUCCACCCCCAGCGUUUCUGCCUUUAUCAUAAAGAUAUCAGCUCCUGGCAAUGACAAUAACAACCCACUUUAAAUGGAAGGCGAUAGUGCAUUGGCACCAGUAGCCAUUGACUUCCCUUUUUUUUUUUUUUAAACAAGGGACGGAUUUACGGCCCUCUUAAUUUAGAAUAAUAUCUUUUUUGGCAUCUUCUCUAGACAAUGUACUUAUGAAGGUUGAAAACUCUCUGCCCCUGACAGAGAGCACUGUUUGUUCUAAGUCAUUUCAGUUGGUGGGGCAACAAACAACAGAGAACCAAACGAACUGCCUCUACAGGAAAAUCUGCCCUCUCCUGGACUCCUUAGUUCUAGGUCACAAAUGAAUCUAGUCCCAGAGCUGCUUAAAGUAUUGAAAGAUGAUUUGGUGCUACAACAAGAAUGGUAUUUUGAAGCACUCCAUUUGGUCACAGAGAAACACGGAGUUGAUA
rnacentral:lncRNA from 1 species